rnacentral:rRNA from 1 species
AUUGAACGCUGGCGGCAGGCCUAACACAUGCAAGUCGAACGGUAACAGGAAGAAGCUUGCUUCUUUGCUGACGAGUGGCGGACGGGUGAGUAAUGUCUGGGAAACUGCCUGAUGGAGGGGGAUAACUACUGGAAACGGUAGCUAAUACCGCAUAACGUCGCAAGAACAAAGAGGGGGGCCUUCGGGCCUCUUGCCAUCGGGUGUGCCCAGAUGGGAUUAGCUAGUAGGUGGGGUAACGGCUCACCUAGGCGACGAUCCCUAGCUGGUCUGAGAGGAUGACCAGCCACACUGGAACUGAGACACGGUCCAGACUCCUACGGGAGGCAGCAGUGGGGAAUAUUGCACAAUGGGCGCAAGCCUGAUGCAGCCAUGCCGCGUGUAUGAAGAAGGCCUUCGGGUUGUAAAGUACUUUCAGCGGGGAGGAAGGGAGUAAAGUUAAUACCUUUGCUCAUUGACGUUACCCGCAGAAGAAGCACCGGCUAACUCCGUG